rnacentral:lncRNA from 1 species
GAAAUUGAAAUAAUGACUAAAGUGCAAUACGCGCGAAUGUUCAGGGAUCAAAUCUGAAAAUAUUCCAGAUCCCAAAACAUGGCGUUUAGACGCGGACUAAACUGAAAAGACAUGCAAAUUUUAGGACAAAUUUGAAAUAAAUUAAAAUGUAACUAAGGAUCAAUUAAAAGUCUGCGCGAAGGCGAAGGAUUAGCCGUGCAAAUUGACCAUUCGAAGCGCCAAAGCACGGAUCCAGCCUAUGGAUCGGGCUUGCGCGCGGAUCUUCCCCCCCUCUACACGGCACCGUUUCAAACUCUAUACAAAGUCAAGCCUAAAAAAAAACCUAAAAUCAAUCAUUCAGCCACUUUAACAAAAUCAAAAAAAAAAAAACUAAACUAAACCUCUCCUUAUUCAUUCGGCUGAACCAUGAACCUUCUGCCCAGCCACCACACGUUACCGUGACCGGUGAUUGGCGGUGAGCGAAGCCCGUUCUAAACCGAUUAAAGCCACAUAUGCCAAUUUCAACCCCGAAAUCCUCACUUAGACUUCGAUUUAGACGAAGAAGAUGAGGACUCCGAAGGCGAACUCUCAAUGGUAAACCCUCUAUUUUUUUAGAUUCGUCGAAUAGAUUCAAAAUAAAGUAAAAAAAAAACAAGAAUAAGAGCAGAGAAAUAAUCUACGAAUCACCUUUGGUAAACUCUUUUUGAAUUGAUUUCUUUUUUCAUAUAUGCGUCUGUUCUCUCUAUUUUACAUCGUUUCAUUCAGUUUUAUAGCCAAAAUAAAUAAAAUAAAUAAAUAAAAAGAAAUCCAAAUUUCAUUGCUGUCAUUUGUUGCUAUUUGCUGUCCAUUGCUUGUGGUUGUUUUCGUUUGUUAGUCUGUUGCAGGUACAGCUAGAGGGUGGCGCGUGUGGAGGCCAUUAUGGGGGUGAAGCGUGAAGUCACUGGUGGCUGCUUGCGGCCCGAGGGUAGACGGGGCUAGGGUUUGCUUCAAGCAUGGUUUGGGCUUAGGGUUUAUUAUUCUUUUGGGUCUGCUUGUAAAAUUUUGGGCUUAAUUUUAUUAUUGGGUAUUGGGUUUUGUAAUGGGCUAAGGGGUUAUAGACUGUUUUAUUGAUUUUUAUUAUUUUUUGGUUUUUUUGCAUUUAGUUUAUAAGUCUAAAGGCCCGGGUGAAAUGGGCCUAUUACAAAUAUAAAUUAUAAAAAAUUAAAAUUUUAUUCGGCCCUCCCUAAAUAUUUAUUCUGGCUUCGCCCAUGCUUUAUAGAUGGGUAGAUAUGUAGAUGUCCACAUAUAUGAACUCGGGUUUAACAUUUUUAAUUUGAGUCGAGCUAAGGCAAAACUUUAAACUUAUUUUCCAAGCAGGAUUUGAGCCUAAAAUUUUGUAUGGACCCAAUCCAUGAUCAAGUUUAAUGAUUUAUUUUACUAAAUUUGAUUUACUUUAUAUGAAAAGAGAAGACUAAAAUUUAUAAUAUAAGCAUCUAAAUUUUCUUGGAUUCUCAAUUCUCAACAAGUUUAAGAACAUUGGGC